AUUGCCUUAGUAACGGCGAGUGAAGCGGCAACAGCUCAAAUUUGAAAUCUGGCUCUUUCAGAGUCCGAGUUGUAAUUUGCAGAGGGCGCUUUGGCUUUGGCAGCGGUCCAAGUUCCUUGGAACAGGACGUCACAGAGGGUGAGAAUCCCGUACGUGGUCGCUAGCUAUUGCCGUGUAAAGCCCCUUCGACGAGUCGAGUUGUUUGGGAAUGCAGCUCUAAAUGGGAGGUAAAUUUCUUCUAAAGCUAAAUAUUGGCCAGAGACCGAUAGCGCACAAGUAGAGUGAUCGAAAGAUGAAAAGCACUUUGGAAAGAGAGUCAAACAGCACGUGAAAUUGUUGAAAGGGAAGCGCUUGCAGCCAGACUUGCUUGCAGUUGCUCAUCCGGGCUUUUGCCCGGUGCACUCUUCUGCAGGCAGGCCAGCAUCAGUUUGGGCGGUGGGAUAAAGGUCUCUGACACGUUCCUUCCUUCGGGUUGGCCAUAUAGGGGAGACGUCAUACCACCAGCCUGGACUGAGGUCCGCGCAUCUGCUAGGAUGCUGGCGUAAUGGCUGUAAGCGGCCCGUCUUGAAACACGGACCAAGGAGUCUAACAUCUAUGCGAGUGUUUGGGUGUCAAGCCCGAGCGCGUAAUGAAAGUGAACGGAGGUGGGAACCCGCAAGGGCGCACCAUCGACCGAUCCUGAAGUUUACGGAAGGAUUUGAGUAAGAGCAUGGCUGUUGGGACCCGAAAGAUGGUGAACUAUGCUUGAAUAGGGUGAAGCCAGAGGAAACUCUGGUGGAGGCUCGCAG
rnacentral:rRNA from 1 species